GCACUACAAGAACAAGUGCCAGACAGUGGUGACUCUGUGCCUAGCAAAGUUCAGAUUUCAGAAGAACAAACGGCGCAGAUGGAAACCAACCACUUGAAAGCACUAGAAAGGGCUGCAGCUCGUCCUCGUUCACAGUCACAAGCAUCUUGAAUUCUUCUAGUAGAGUAUGGCCAGAGAGUGAGGAAGUGUUCUGCGGUUGGGUUUGCACUUAUGCAUAUCCUGUCAAGUAUAGCAAUAGCCCUAAUGUUCACUUGGGUAUGUUUAAAUAGUUUGUUUUGGCAAGUUUGUUGUUAUUGGUUGUUUGUAGGCUUUCCAAGUGCGAAAAAUUAUGUGAUUUCUUGAGAUCUGAUACUGAUGGAUGAUCAGCCAUGCUGUUGAGUCUCUGAUCCGGCUCUUCAUCCUGUGUGGCAAUACCAACCUGUUUUUGUCAACUUUUGAAUAGAUGGAACAUGGACUCAUCUUAUGAAUUGCAGAAGACACAGUCAUACAGAGGAUCAAUCAUUGGUGCUCCGACUCUGAUGAGCCAUGCCAUAGAGUUCAGUCUAUUAUUUAGCAACCAGACAAAGAUCUUUUUCUUUGGAGCAAAGACUGACCACUGUGUGGCCAUCUGAGAGUUUUUAGAACAACUAUUACUUGAGUAGAAUAAACAUCUUUAUCCACUUUGGAGGAAAGGAUCAUCAUGUUCUAGGAAAUAUAUGUUCUCGGAAGUAUGCUAAACUUAAGCAUUGUAAACACUUUUAUCAUCUUUGGAGUGAAGGAUGAGCAUGCUCUUGGAGCUUUAUGUUCUGAAGUAUGUUAAACUUAUGCAUUCUGCCUAGGUAUUUCAAGUUCACCUGUAAGUUCUCUGAUGUCUGGCAUUCAACCCAAGUCCAAUAUAAUGUAAUU